UCCUCUAUAAAUAGGAAGCGAUUACGAUUUCACCGUCUCUGACAGUACUCCAUCGACAACCGAGAGAGUCUGGGAGAUCGGCCAUCCGCCAUUGUUUUCCUGAGGUUGAGCUUGUUCGCCAUCGACAAUGAGAGCUAAGUGGAAGAAGAAGCGUAUGAGGAGGCUUAAGAGAAAGCGCCGAAAGAUGAGACAGAGAUCCAAGUAGGUGCACAGAUGUUUGGAAAAUGAUUGAGCCUGCUCCUGAGAUUACCUAUUAUCUCUGUUGCCGUCAAGCAUAAAUUGCUUGAAGUUGUGGAGGUUGUAGUCUUCUUAAGAAGAUAGUUUUGAAUCAUUUCCUGUGGUUUUUAUUGCUUUGGAUAAACGAACUUAAAUAUUUUGACUUGUUUUUCUAUUAAGAUGUGUCAUAGCUUAUAUUUUGCAUCUAAUGCUUCCUUGAACUUAUUUCAGAAGUUUAAUAUUCAGACUCUAUCAAAUCAUGUGUCCUUGUCAUCA